CUUUACUGGGAACUACAUGGAUUUCCAUCACAGAGAUCAGGAACCAGAUAAGAAAUGAUUUAGAUUUAGGGCCUAUGUGUCAGAUGUGCAUCGUACUGUAUUUGUGUUUGUGCUUUGCAAUGUGGAGUGAUUGCUUUGGGGACUUUACACAGUAAAGUCACUCCAUCUCCAACCCUCACAACAAUGGAAGGAAGUUUUGGGGCCAUAAAUUAAUAACUUUACCAAAUACUAUAAGUCCAAUGAAUUAAUUCAUCUACAGUGACAUGAUUGUCAUCUAGACUUUUGGCCGAUGGUCGGUGUGAGCACGGGUUCAGCAGCUGAGGAGGAAGACAUGGAGGAUGAGUUGGCGUGACGACCAGGAAGACAUUACCAUGGCGAUAAUGAGUCUAACAGACACCCCCCCAACACCUGUCUGGUCCCCCUCAACCAAGACACACACACACACACACACACAUGUCUCAAUGUGAAUGUUUAGACAUUGUAUUUCCACUGUAGUGACUCAUCUUUUGA